rnacentral:lncRNA from 10 species
GACCACUUCUGCCCCAGUCAGCUUGAGAUUUCCAAAGCCCACAGGCUCGAAUGUCUAAGUCACCCAGCCAGCAAAGAUAGUGGCUUGCCCCUCCCUUUGGGAACUUCCUCUCAGGGUGUAUUCAAAUCUCUAUCGGCCUGAGAACACUGGUGAGGGUGGCUUGAGGCCCUAGUUGGAAAGUCCCACCCAGCGAGGAGGUACAGAUUGGAGACCCACGUGAAGAAGCUGUCUGGCCAUGUUUUGGUAGAGUAGCUGUGCUGUGCUGGGGGAUUCCUUCUGCCCUUGGCCAGUUUGGACUCUCAAAAGCCCUAAGACUGGAACAGCUGAGUCUCCCAAACAGAAAAGAUGGCAGCCCAUUCCUCCCCACAGGAACUCUGUCCCAGAAUCUUCACCAGAAGAAGUUCCCCUCUCAAGAAACUACUUUCCUUGCUCAUCUGUAAGAAACAACUCUUCAUAGGUUAGUGUUAUUAUAAGCUUGCAGCAAUUCAGUCAUAUCUUCGGGCCCAUUUUUAAUUCUAGUUCUCAUUCUAUCUCCACCACAUCUGCAAUUACUCUUUCCGCUGAAACCUUAAACUCCUCAAAGUCAUCCAUGAACAUUAGAAUCAACUUCUUCCAAACUUCUAUUAAUGUUAAUAUUUGACCUCUUCUCAGGAAUCACAAAUAUUAUUAUUAUUUUCUAG